rnacentral:rRNA from 1 species
UACGUAGGGGGCUAGCGUUGUCCGGAAUCAUUGGGCGUAAAGCGCGUGUAGGCGGUCCGGUAAGUCCGCUGUGAAAGUCGGGGGCUCAACCCUCGGAUGCCGGUGGAUACUGUCGGGCUUGAGUACGGAAGAGGCGAGUGGAAUUCCUGGUGUAGCGGUGAAAUGCGUAGAGAUCGGGAGGAACACCGAUGGCGAAGGCAGCUCACUGGGACGGUACUGACGCUGAGACGCGAAAGCGUGGGGAGCAAACAGG